rnacentral:ncRNA from 1 species
UUAGCUAUUUUAGAUAGGUUUGUAUUCAUCACGAUGGAUACAAACAACUUGAGUGUUUUUUGUAUCUAUGAUGGCUAGAGCAUUUCGAUGUACCAACGGCCGCAUAGAGAAAUCUAAGUGGCUGAAGAAGUAUACUAUUUUUGUACUCGUAUCACCCACUUGGAGUUUCGAUACUUCUA